rnacentral:lncRNA from 1 species
AGAGUAGAGAAUAUAUUCUGAAGGAAAUGCUACUUUGGAGAUAUAUUUUUGGGAAGUCAUGGUACUUGGUUGUGCUGGACUUUCCAGGAAGCAUGUCUGGACUUUAUUUUUUGAAAUAGGUAACUUUGUAUUCACACAAAAGAACUCAUCAAAAUCGAUGAGGUGGGAUUUACAAACCCCCAGGGGGUGCCAUCAUACUCAAAUCCAAAAAGCAAAACUAACUUUACAAUUGGCUUUUAAACUCCACAAGGCUAUCUGCUUCCCCCACUAAAUUUUGCUUACACCAAAAAUACAAAAGACUAAGACAUCUCAUCUUGAUCUCCUCUGGGCUGCUAACCUUUCCUUCAAAAACAUCUCCCAUUCCUUUCCUUCCAUAGUGUCCACCAUAUGCAAGCAGGGAUAUUUUUCCACCAGUCCUCUGUUGAUCCUCUCUUUCCGAUUCCUUGCCAGUGUGUUAGGACCUCAAAAGUGGUUCUGGGCAUUGUCCAGUUAACCCCGAGUAUACAAACGAACAUGUUCCACAGAUCUUUAGCUAUCUUGCAAUGCAGAAACAGAUGACCAUUUACUUCAGUCUUCUGUCCGCACAUGUAGCACUUUGAACAGAUCUGUAUACCUCUUCUUUGUAGCACUUCAUGGGUGAGACAAGCUCUUCUAAUUACCAACCAAGUGAAACAUGCAACUUUUAAAGGAACCUUAAUUUUCCAGAUUAAUUUCCAGGGCCAAACUGUUGUCAAUGAAUGAUUAGUAUUCCUCUCCCAAUAGCAUGAUUUAACUGUAAAACCCCCUCUGCUAUGCAGUCUCCAAACUGGUUUGUCCGGCUCUGUGACAGUGCCUGGAAACAAGUUUAAAGCAUGCAGUAGGUCUGCUACUCUUCCAACCUCCCAAUCAUUUAGAGCCCUUCUGAACAUAAGGUCCCAACCUUGAGGGGUCCACAUUUGCGCUAUAGUGUCAUUCUGCUGUAGACUGAUAAUGUACAGAUCGGGAAAAAGUAUCCUCAGAUUUACGUCACCUAACCAGGUCUCGUUCCAGAAACUGGUCUUCAAACCAUUCCCCACUCUGAAGGUCACCUUUGCACUGAAAUCAGGCCACAUUCUCCUGAUGGUUUUCCAUACAGAGCACCCAAAAGUGCCAUUCACCUCUUCAGUUAUCCAGUUGCUUUGUAGGUCAUAUUUCUCUGCAAUAAACCUCCUCCAUAAUGCCAUAUCUUCACAACAGAAUCUCCACAACCAUUUUUGCAGCAGGCUGGUGUUCUGAGUACUCAAUUUCUUAAUGCCCAGACCUCCUUGUGCUUUGCUCAUUGUCACCUCUUCCCAUUUAACCAGGUUGUAUCCUUGCUUCUCUUUAUUUCCUUGCCAGAGGAAGACCCUUCUCAGCUUGUUGAGUUUCUUUCCAAUACUUUUUGGUAGUGGGAAAAGACUUAGCAUAUAAGUCGGAAGUGCAUCCAGAACUGAUUUUAUGAGAGUCAAUCUACCUCCCAGGGAUAUAUAUUGACUCUUCCACCUUGUCAGCUUCCUUUCACUUCUCUCCAGAACUUCACUCCAUACUUCCAAUUUUUUGGUGGGAAGAGAAGCUACUUGGCAGCCCAGGUUGUCGGCAAGGCCUUGCAUGUCAUUAACUUGAUUAACCGGGAACAAGCAACUCUUCUGCCAGUUCACAUGUAGUCCUGAUAUGCCUUCAAAAAUGGUUAGUAUUGCCCUCAAAUGUCUAAUUUGUGACACUUCUGCACCACAGAACACUAAAGAGUCGUCCGCAUAUAGAAGGUGUGUGACCUCCAUAUUAUUGGCUCUGGACUUUUUCAGACAGCAUUUUAAAAGAGAAAAGAUUCGGAAUUUUAAAAGGCUAGAUAGAUAUCUUCUAAGCCAGAACAUACAACAGAUCUUCUAAGCUGUUGGAUCAGGAGAGGGGGUAGCAAAUCCCAGGAGAGAUGGUGGAGAGAAGUUUCUUCAUGUAUUUGGUGGACAAUAUGGAAGGAAAGAAAUGGG